GUAUUUGAAAUAAAUAUAUAUGAAUAUAAAUAUUUUUGAUGUAAUUUUAUGCCGAUGUAUAAACUAAUCAUCUCAUUGGUCAUAUAAUUAUUUUUUUAACCUCGUGAUAGACUAAUGUAAUAAUAGUUUUUCGGUGCUCAUUGUUACGACUGUAAUUGAAAAAAAACAAUUUCAGUGUCCAAGGCGAACGGUAUAGGUAUCUAUAAUACCUAUUUGCUGUGACAACUAAAAAAAGACCACUGAAAAAAACCAAAUGAAUUUUUAUUAUGACGACAAGCGAUAAAACCGUGUAUACAAUAACGUGUCCAGAAAUAACGUUACAAAAAAAACUAUGAUUUACGAUUCGAUAGACGCACGAUGUUUUUUAUUACUUUUUUUGGCUUUCUCAGGCGUUAAGCAUCCGUGUCCGAUUAAGAUAAUAUUUGAUUUGCACGUUGCAAGUGUACACCGGUUUUUUUCUCAAAUCUCUAUUUAUAGGGCGAUUUUUUUAUUAUUAUCGAUUAUUAUUAUUAAAUUAUAUUUUUUGUCGAGGUCGUUGCAAGGAACUCGAUUUAAAAAUCAAUAGUGAAAUAUUUUAAUGCACAUGCGAAUAAUACGUGUAUUUUAAUAAUUAUUAGUAAAAUUACAAUAUCACAUAAGUAUGUGUAUAAUUUUAUAUGCAUUUCAUUUGACCUCGGAAAAAUUGGUACAAUAUAUUGAAUUUUUUUUUCUAUAUUCUAUGACGUAUAUCAGUGAUUUGUUUACUGCGUGUCACGUGAAGACAUAAUAGGACUUGCUCGAUAUGUUUAAACACGAACGUGUUUAAAAUGUGCGAAUGUUUAUUGAAGGAUUUUAUUAAUAUUUUUAAAUACAUAAACAAUAAGGCAGAAAAUAUCUGCUACGGAUCUGUGUGAAAUCCAUACAGUAGUCCAAAAUCGUUUACAAAUUCGUAUCGAAAUUUCAAGACAAAUAUUUUCGACUAACCGACCACUGUAAAUUACGAUGUCCUCGUCCGUUAUUACACUACAACCGAGUGUAAAUAUC